rnacentral:rRNA from 1 species
UGCAAGUCGAGCGAACUUUGAGGUGCUUGCACCUCUUGGUUAGCGGCGGACGGGUGAGUAACACGUGGGCAACCUGCCUGUAAGACUGGGAUAACACCGGGAAACCGGUGCUAAUACCGGAUAAUUCUUUUCCUCUCAUGAGGAAAAACUGAAAGACGGUUUCGGCUGUCACUUACAGAUGGGCCCGCGGCGCAUUAGCUAGUUGGUGAGGUAACGGCUCACCAAGGCGACGAUGCGUAGCCGACCUGAGAGGGUGAUCGGCCACACUGGGACUGAGACACGGCCCAGACUCCUACGGGAGGCAGCAGUAGGGAAUCUUCCGCAAUGGACGAAAGUCUGACGGAGCAACGCCGCGUGAGCGAUGAAGGCCUUCGGGUCGUAAAGCUCUGUUGUUAGGGAAGAACAAGUACCGGAGUAACUGCCGGUACCUUGACGGUACCUAACCAGAAAGCCACGGCUAACUACGUGCCAGCAGCCGCGGUAAUACGUAGGUGGCAAGCGUUGUCCGGAAUUAUUGGGCGUAAAGCGCGCGCAGGCGGCCCUUUAAGUCUGAUGUGAAAGCCCACGGCUCAACCGUGGAGGGUCAUUGGAAACUGGGGGACUUGAGUACAGAAGAGGAAAGCGGAAUUCCACGUGUAGCGGUGAAAUGCGUAGAGAUGUGGAGGA